rnacentral:rRNA from 1 species
UCGUAACAAGGUUUCCGUAGGUGAACCUGCGGAAGGAUCAUUGUCGAAACCUGCCAAGGCAGAACAACGCGCGAACCAUUGAUUAAAACUCGGCAAUGGCAGUGAGUGCAGCGUGCUCCCCCGGGGGUUCCGUUGUUCCUCAUCGUGCAGCCAGUGAGUGCAGCGUUCUCCCCCAGGGGUUCCGUUGUUCCUCAUUGUGCAACCAGUGAGUGCAGCGUGCUCCCCCGGGGGUUCCGUUGUUCCUCAUUGGGCUGUUGCCAUGCCUGUCGUUGGGGUCUCGUGCCCUGGCUCCAGGCUAACCAAACCCCCGGCACGAGUUGUGCCAAGGAACACAAAUGAAAUGCUUGGGGGGUGCUUUGCCCCCUUACAGUAUUAAACAAAACGACUCUUGACAACGGAUAUCUAGGCUCUUGCAUCGAUGAAGAACGUAGCGAAAUGCGAUACUUGGUGUGAAUUGCAGAAUCCCGUGAACCAUCGAGUUUUUGAACGCAAGUUGCGCCCGAAGCCUUCUGGCCGAGGGCACGCCUGCCUGGGCGUCAUAAUUCGUCACCCCUCCUACCAUGCCCUUGGGCUGACUGGGUCGGGGUGGAAUCUGGCUUCCCGCGUCCCCUAGGCGCGGCUGGCCGAAAUUUGGACGCACCAAGGCAUUGCCUGUAGCGGCCUAGGUGGAUCGAAAGGCCCUCUAAGUUUGCCGUGCAGUGCAGUGCCAUCGGUGCCCCAUGGCCCCUCUCGUGUUUUCCCUGUGCGGGAAAAUACUGUUGCGCGACCCCA